rnacentral:lncRNA from 1 species
UUUUUUUUUUUUUAUCUUUUAUCUUUCUAAGUUAAAAUUCCAUAUAUGCAGAUCUAAAGAAAUAUUUUCACGACCAGAGUACUUUUUAUAUAAAAAAGUUACAUAUAAAUCUUUAGUAUAUAUUGUUGAUAUUGAUAAAAAUGAUAAGUAACAUGCUGUCAUAAACUAAAAUUCAUUGGUAAUAUAAUUUACGUUUUUUUAAAACAUAAUUAUAAGCUUUGGCAAAGCCUUUUCAAGGUUUAAUUUGGUUAUGGGAAAAGGUGAGUUGAUUAUCCCAAUUAGUGUUUCGAGGGUCAAGGGAUUAAACAUGGCAUUUUAAAAGGAAAUGAUAUAAAGAGUGAGUUCGGUAUAUAAAAAAUAAGUUUUUCGAAAUUUUAUCUAGAAAAUGAGUUUUUUUAAAAUGAGAAAAACAAACUUUUCUAAUAAAGGAAGGAAAAACAAAUUGUACAAAUAGUGACAUUUUAUAUGAAAUGUAGCUUAUCUGUCCUACAAUACACUUCAUCUUUAUCUACCGUAGCCUCCAUUCCACACCCUUAUCUAUCCGUAAUCCACACCUUCCUAAUAUUUGUUUAGAUUAUAAAUGUAUUUGAAAUGAAGAAAAAAAAAAUUUACCUAAUAUUUUUACUUACAUACCAAAUAUAAAAAAUAAUAAACUAACUUAUUUUCUAAAUAUUAUUUUUAUUGUGGAACAACAUUCCUUAAUUAGUACCGAACACGCCCAAGUUUAAAAAAGUUUUCUACGUUCUAAUUAUAGGAAAAUUUAAGAACGUAGAUAAUAUAUAUUUUGCUGUUCGUCUUCAAAUGGUGCGGUUGGUGGGGGAAAUGGAAUAAAUAAAGGAAUAGUAUUAAUAUUAUUUCUGACAUUUCCAAUUUAACUAAAAAACAAUAAUAAGAAUCUUUUUAUUGUCGGGAUGACACAGUUGGUUUGGAGGGUGGUUAUCCACACGAAUGACCCGGUAUCGAUCCUUCCUCAGUGUCUUCUAAAUCGAGUCUGUCGCAUAGGGCUUGCCUAGUGUGAUUUACAUACACUAUGUGUUUUGCAGGCUAUUACACAAUGGGGUGUUUACCCAGUGCACACAAAGUGCUCACCCGAAGGACAGAAACUAUGGCAGAAAUUGUAGCGGAUGCGGAUUAUCGUGAGGUUCAAAAAAAAAAAACUUUUUAUUAGAUGGUUUCUGGUGAAGGAUAACCAAUUUCACCAAAUGUUAAAUUGAAAGAGUCCUUAAAUUAGUAAUUUUUGUGUAGAAGAUUGGACCUGUCAAAUUAGUGGUAACUUUAUCGCAAUUUCUUACGUGUCAUUGAAAAAAGGGAAAUUAUAUGAAAUAGCAAACUAUUAAUUCAAAUUAAAUGUUAUAACUAUAGUUUAUUUUAAUUGUAAUUCACAACAAACAUUCCCUUUUUUUGCCAUCUAAUUCGAUAUACAAUUGAUCAUUUUCGAUAUACAAUUAGCCAUUUUAUACAUUUUGGUAUAAAAUGCGUUUGUGUAUAAAGUAAGAGAAAAGUGUAUAUACAAAUACAAAUAUAUAUAUUUUCGUCCUAUACACUUAUAAUUAUACAAAUACAGAUCUUAUUGUACAAAUUACAAUGUAUAAAUGAAUUUAUACAAAACUGAACAAUUUGUAUAAAAUUGAACGUUUAUAGCGAAUUAUACGAAUCAAAAGCUCUAGAGCAAACAUAAAAUUUGCUAUGGAGCACAAUUAUGCAAACUAUAGCUAUAACAUAUAAAUAUGAUUUUUAUGUUUGCUAUAUGUGAAAGUUGCUCAAAAAAAUAAUAUUAUUUUAGUAUUAAAUUAAAAGAGUCAUUUUUUUUUUGCGCUGUAAUUAGAAAACGACAUGAAAUUUCAUGUGUAUUUAUUUGUAUUACACACAUAUUGAUCGGAUAAAAAAGGAUUUAAAAUGUUAUAUUAUGAUAGCUACGUUUAAAGAUUCAGUUGAUAAAGUGAUGAACAUAAGGGUCAAACUCCAACUGACAAAUGAAGUCAAGUAUGGGGUCAUUUUGCCCUUUUAUUUUACUAGUGCUAUGACUUAGUUUGAGAUAGUAAAAUUAAGGAAAAAUUACUCAGAUACACAACUUAUUUUAUCAUAUUUUCUAAAAUUCUCUAAUAUUUAAAAAAUUUACAAAAAUCCCUAUUCACUCCUAUUCUCGGUUACAUCACUUUACGCAAUGUAUCGGAAUGUAAUAUAUCAUUUUAUGCGGUGUAUUGGGAUGUAAUACAUCACUUUACAUGACUUAUUAUCGGAUACAUUACUAUAUGCGAUGAAUCGAUCGGAUACAUCACUAUACACGAUGUACGAGACGUAAUACAUUACUUAACGCGAUGUUGUCGGAUACAUCUCUAUAUGCGAUGUAUCAGGACGUUGUACGAUGUAUCAGAAAAUGAGAUGUAAUGUAUCGGAACAUUUUUUGGGAUGUAUCCGAAUUCCAUCAAAUUUAAACGAUUUUUGUAAUUUAAAAAAAGAUAGGAAUAAAAUGUAAUUAGCUCUUAACACUAUAAAAUUUGAAUAAAAUUCCCUAAAAUUAAACAAAUUUCCUUUAUUUUUAGGUUUCAUGCCCAAUCAAACACCAUGGCGUAAUAAUAAUAGAAAUGGGAUUUAAAUUAUAAUAAAGUUGUGAUGAUAUAUAUAUUUUUACACAAACAGUAAUUUAGCAUGUUAUCAUGAUUUCGUUACCAUUUAUUUAAAGUUAUCAACUAACAUUAUUAAAUAAAGUUACCUGCAACUUGAAAUUACUGCCUUUUACAAUCUGACUGUAAUAUAAACUUUAGUUGUACUUUAAAGAAUGAGAAAAUUGCGGUGGGUGUCACGAUAAAUCGAGCAUCUUCAUAAUUAUUAAACCAUGUGAACUAUGCCCUUUUCAUCUGCAAUUUCUUUUACUUUUCAACUAUACCUUAUAUGAUCUUUAAUAAUAAAUUAUAACUCAAUCUUUUUUUUUUGUUUUUUUGGAUCUGGAUAAUAAUAAAAGGUUGUGGUAAAGUAGUAAAUAUUUCUUUAUUCUUAAUUAUAGAUUUCAAAUUUAAAUUUCGAAUAUAGAAUUAUUGUCGAUAGAAACACCUUAUUCCAUUGUGAAAUUUUACGAUGUAAAUUUAGAUUAGUCAGCCACGCGAGGACCCUGAGCGGAAAUAAACACUGCAAAGCUGUACUGAAUAAGUAGACAGCUGAAGCGAUCACUGAUGCGUGAAUGCCGGGUUUGCCAUUAUAUUAACCAAAUCCUUUCAGCUAAAUCUUAGCAAGUUAUUAACAUUUUAAUUACAGAUUUGAUCCACUUUUGGGAAAUGAGAACAAAUUAAAGGCCUUGUUUUUUUCUUUCUUUUCCUCCUGGCAAGAACUGAAUUAUCAUUAUAUGAGGUACGACUAAUAUAAUUUUAUUAUAUAUGUUGAAGUAAAAGUUCAGUUUAUCUAAAAAAUUAAACGGUUAAGAGCUUUUCUUUUAUAAUUUAUUUAAUUAUGUCUUUGAUACAUAUUCUUUUUUCUCAUGUGUUUAAUUAACUACGAGAAUUAUCUUUUGUGAUAAUGAUAAUACUGAAAUUCGAAAUUAAAAUUUCUACCUAUUGUGACAUGAUAUUUAUAUCUUUUAUCAUUAUAUGUUAUAGUUGAUCAAGAUAAAUGUAUAAACCUAAGCAAUUUCUUUUUUUAAUUCAAGACUUGAUAUUUAAAACAUGUAUUAAAAUUCAAAUAAAUUCGAAGCACGUACUAAUAAGAUGGCCAUUCGGGCGUGGCACAAGCAGUUAUUUUUGAAAGUGUAUGGAAGUUGCUUCAACCUACAAGGGCCAUGGCUACUCAUUUCAACUUUUUCCUAUAACUUCUUUUUCUUUGGUUUACCUUUCAAUUUUCAUGAUGAAUGGAGAUCCUUUUUCUCUUAUUCUAAAUAAUAUAAUAAUAAUUAUUAUCCCAUUUUAGCUUUCUCAAAGAAAAUUAUUAUUACAUCUAAAAGUUAUAUCCAUAUGUCAGAGUCUCAUAUGUUACUAGCGACACUUUGAAUUCUUAAAACUACUAUUGAAUUUAAUAAUCACGUUAAAAUUCAUUUUUUUAAUAAUAAGUAUUUGAAAAAAAUAUCUCCUAGAAAUUAAUGUGGUAAUUAUUCUCGGUCUGUUUUAAUUUUUAGUUUCAAACUUUUCAUGUGACAUAAUCAGGGCAAUAAGUUUAAGCAAUAUUUUGAUAUAUAUUUUUUUAUUUAAGAUCAUAAAAUUUAAUUUUUUAAACUUCGUAGAGUCAAAAUUAUUUUAACCGGAGAGAGCAUUUGAUUGGGCCAAAUAUUCCUUAGGCCGAAAGGAAGAAAGUUAUGCCAAUCAUGUAAGUUCAAAUGUUUACCGGUGGGAAUGCUUAGUCACGCCAAAUUUUUUAAAAGUAACAUUAGUAUUUCUUAGAAAAAUAUUUAUAUAUAUUUCAAACAAAUACUCCCUCCAUUUCACAAAGAAUGACCUCCUUUCCGUUUUAGUCAGUUUCAAAAAGAAUGACCUCUUUCCUUUUUUGGUAACAUUUUACUUUUUGCUUUCCAUGUGGCAUGUUUAAGACCACAAGAUUAAGGACAAUUUUGUACAUUUGACAUAACUUUAAUUUAGGACCACAAGAUUCAAAAGUCUUCUUUAUUUACUUAAACUCCGUGCCAUGUUAAACCAGGUCAUUCUUUGUGAAACGGAGGGAGUACUAAAAAGACGAGAGUGGAAAAUGGGGAUGUUAGGGGUGGGCGCGAGUGGAUGAGGUGAAAAUAUAAUGUGUUCGAGGGUUAAGAUGACACAAUUAAUAUGAAAUGUCACUAAUUUGCUCUUCAUUAUUUUUCUCAUUUUUAAGGAAUUUCGUUUCUUUAAAAAAAAUUCUUAUAGUUUUGAUCAAUUAAACAUGAGAAAACUAUCCUAUCGAGCACACGUUACAUGAAGAAAAUCAGAUCUCUUAACCAUUGACAAAUUAAAUAGAAGAAAAUAAUCUUUUUCAGAUUUAUUAUAUAUAAAAAUAUUUCUUCUAGUUCUUAUAACUAUCACACGCUAUUUUGACAAAAAGUCGUACUAAUUUUGACAAUUGUUUUGUCUACUAAUAAAAUACUCAUAGAAUCGUGAAAAUAAAUUAAAAAGUUUCCCAAUUAAUUAAAGGUUUGUUUGGUAUAAGAAUGACAAAACAAGAGAAAUACUAAUUAAAUAUUAACCGAAUUAAAAAAAAAAUAAUCCCAAAAUGGUCCCUGUUUUAGUGGACCACUACCUCAAAUGACACGUGUCAUAAAUCCAUACGGUUAAAAUAAAGCAUCGUAUUUACUCACCGAGAUUCCAGUGCCACGUGGUCACGUGGUUCAUACCAAGAGAGGGUAAUUUCGUCAUUACACUUUGUCCUUACCGUCACACGAAAAAAAGACGUUGACGCUCUCUUCGAUCCAUAAAACUGUAUGCAGUUCCCAGAAGUGGAAAUUUUAUGUACUGUGUGUUUUUCUGUGUGUGUUAGUGUGUGUAUUUUACUUCGUCUUCUUCAGUGAAAUUGUUGUUUGUUUUAAUGGAGAAUUUGAUAAUGGAGGUAAGAUUACUGUUAUCGUUUUUUCUUCUUCUCUUUUUCUCAUUCAUUAUCGACUUUAUUCGAUGCGUAAAGCUUCAUCUUCAUGUACUGAGAUUCUGAGAAUGACGCUUCAGUUAGCUUCAAGUUCAAUCUGUUUUUUUUUAUCAGCUGAAGAAAAGGACUUUUCAGUUUUCAAGCUCUUUUAUUAUUUUUUUUAUAAAAAAUUGUAUGACUGGCUGAGCAUCGAUUAAUCCGGAUCUUGUUCUUUUAAUACUUUUUUUCCGAUGAAAUAUUAUUUAUUAAAUUGUUCAAUCUGAAUAAACCGAUUUUUUUUUACCGUUAGAAUCUUGUGAGAAUUUAAUAUCUACGUUACAUUUUUGUUAUUUAAAUCUUAGCACAAGGAUUGAAGCAGAGAAAGUUGUGACCGUUGAAUUGAAAUCCCUUAUCUAUCUCUGAGGUCCUCAUUUUUCCAGUGGAAACAACAGAGAAGGUGAACAUUGAACUCUUUUUGUCAAUGUGACUUCUCUUUUUAUAUCAGCAUAUGUAUAUAAAAUUUGUUGUUUGGCUAUUUGCAACAAUAUCGAACAUCCUACCUUCUUGAGACUCAACUUGUGGGGGAUUGCACUAGGUUUGUUGUUGUUGUUUGGAUAUUUGUAUUCUAUAUAGGUUUUGGGGUCCACCAUUGCUAAAAGUUUCAAAAGCUUCAGAGCUACUGUGGAAAUUUCAUAGAAUAGUAUUGUCACUUGGUGCUGAAGCAUACUUGGGUCCCAAUAUUGGUCCCCGUUAAGCAAAGUAAAGUGGAUUGAGUUAUGGCGCUUUUUAUGGAAUUUUAGGUUUUGAAAAAAUUGGUAUUAAGGUUUUUAAGCAAAGUGCUUAAUCACAACUAACACAUGAAUUGACCUACCUAAUCGUGUGGUUAAUUUUUUUAAAUACUUUCUACGAUUAGUUAUAGAUCAUUCAAUGGCUACUGUAUUCUUUUAGCAAUCACAACCACCAUGUCUCAAACAUUCUAACUGUCUUUCCUUUUUCUGUUGGGUGUUGGCAGCAGCAAUAUGAGGCAGUGAGAAGUUUUCUUCUUUUUACGCUUACCUUUGGGUGACCCUUGAAUCAUGGGUCCAUUGUUGGUAUUGUGAUUGGAGUGGCUACAAAGAGAGGAGGGGGAAAAGAUAGGCAUGGGAGCUAUUGGUGGGGAAGAGUUGAAGAAGUGGGAGAAAAUGCAAGGAGCUCCAUUGGGCAGUGAAGAGAAGAUCUUGGUGUUGGUAAGGCUGAGGCCUCUUAGUGAAAAGGAAAUUUCAAGGAAUGAAGUUUCAGAUUGGGAAUGUAUCAAUGAGACCAGCAUCUUAUAUAGGAACAGUCUCCAGGAACGGUCUGGAUUGCCAACUGCUUAUACCUUUGGUAAGAAAAUUCCCUAUUUCAUCCUUUGCAUGUAAACCUGAUUGUUGUAGAUUGAGAAAUGACAGUGAGAGGUGAAUUGAGGUUUAGAUCUGGAUAUUUUAGCUUGCAAACUCCGGCUGACAUCAAUUCCUGGGUUGGGCUGUUCUACUCUGCAGAACUAUUUAUAUUUGUCGGGGUAAUUUCAUUUGUAGCUCAAGUGCAAUUUAUAAAUGAUUUACUGAUGCUACACAUAUCUUCUUGCUUUUCUUUUCUGAGAUUAGACAGGGUAUAUAGAGGUGAUUGCUCAACAAGGGAAGUGUAUGAGGGAGGAACAAAGGACAUUGCUCUUUCUGUUGUCAGCGGAAUCAACUGUGAGUGUUCCAGUCAUAUGCCUUCCACAUUUUGUUGCAGAUUCAUUGUUCAUUUGAAAGAAAACUCACUGUUACGACUACCUAAACAUAUUAUGCAGCAACUAUCUUUGCGUAUGGGCAAACAAGCAGUGGAAAGACCUACACAAUGAAUGGAAUUACAGAGUUUACAGUAGCGGACAUAUAUGAUUAUAUGCAAAAGGUAAUUUAACGUUAACUGUCGCAUUAUAUUCUUUGACUUGGAAUGUUUGAGCAGUGCUUGACAUAAUGCAUCUAAUCUUCUUUUGUUCUUUAUUUAUUGCAAACAUGAUAUUUCCUUCUCUUGUUCAGCACGAAGAAAGAGCUUUUGUUUUGAAGUUUUCUGCAAUGGAGAUCUACAAUGAAGUUGUCCGAGACCUCCUCAGUUCAGAUAGUUCUCCUCUUAGGCUGCUCGAUGAUCCUGAAGUGAGUUUCUGUUUCUUAGUUUUAACAGUGAGCAGAUGAAAUUUUCUAAUGAUUUUGAGUUUUGUAGAAAGGGACCAUUAUUGAGAAACUCACAGAAGAAACUUUAAGGGAUUGGGACCAUCUGAAAGAUCUCUUGUCCGUAUGUGAAGGUAGUGCGAAUCUCCAACUCUACGCUUUAGUUUUAAUCACAAUAUAGAAAUUAGCACCUAUAUAUUUUCUCCAGAAUUUACUAGUUUUUAUGGUCCUUAUGCAGCUCAAAGACAAAUUGGCGAAACUUAUCUUAAUGAAAAUAGCUCCAGGUCUCAUCAAAUUCUUAGACUGGUAUUGCCUUCCUGUCCUUUUUUCCUUUUGAUAAAGUUGGUAUUGGCAUGUUUUGUUCUCUGUACAGAACAGUAAAAUACUAUCAUGGAAUAGAGACGUGUGAAUAUUUCUGAUACUUUUUUGUUGUUCUGUUUCAGACAAUUGAAAGUUCAGCCCGUGAGUUUAUAGGGAAGGACAACAAAACAACUCUUUCUGCUAGUGUGGUAUACAUCAGUUAGUUCACUUAGGAUUUUAUUGACAGUUUCUUCAUGGAUGCCUGAGUUGCUGAUGGCAAAUUUAUGAUUUUUGAAUGCAGAAUUUUGUUGAUCUAGCAGGUAGCGAACGCGCAUCUCAGUCUCUGUCAGUUGGGCAGAGACUGAAAGAAGGCUGUCAUAUUAAUCGUAGUUUGUUGACUUUGGGAACUGUUAUUCGCAAGCUAAGGUUGAUUGCUUGUUUCUUAAGUCAUCUUGCUAAGACAUCUAAAUUUGCUGCACUUAGCUUCAUGUCUGAAUGAUCUUUUAAACAUUUAUUCAGUUUUGAUGUCCACAUUGCAAGUUGGAGAUUUUUUUCUUUUCAUUUCUCAGAUUAUCUAAGAAAAGCUUUAUGGUGUUGAAUAGUAUUGCUAUGUGAAUUGUGUAUGUUAUUAAUAGUACAUGGAAUGAUGUUAACCACAGUAUGGACAUCCAUCACACCCUUUGGCUGUUUGUAUAUACAUUCAAGAUGUGUGCAUUCAAUUAAUCUUUUUCCACUACCCUCUUGUUGAAGCUUCACUGCUUGUAACAAUUUAACUUAAUUGCAGCAAGGGAAGACAUGGGCAUGUCAAUUAUAGAGAUUCUAAGCUAACUCGUAUCCUUCAACCUGCUUUGGGGGGCAAUGCAAGAACUGGCAUAAUCUGCACCCUGAGUCCUGCUCGAAGCCAUGUAGAACAGUCUAGAAAUACACUUCUAUUUGCCUGUUGUGCCAAAGAAGUGACCACUAAUGCACAAGUCAAUGUUGUAAUGUCUGACAAGGCAUUGGUGAAGCAUUUGCAGAAAGAGUUGGCUAGAUUAGAGAGUGAAUUAAAAACCCCCACAACUACUUGUGAUCAUGUGGUAUUGCUGAGAAAGAAAGACCAGCAGAUUGAAAAGGCGAGUUUUCUUUCCUAACUGUUUUCUUUGGAUUGGUUACCACGAGCAGUUGAAUUGAUCCGAUGAACCAAUUGUUAAUCUAUUUUCUGUUCAUGCCAAGGCUUUUAUCUAACUGCUGAUUUCACUUAUUCUUCACUCAGUUAUUUUGCAUUUUAUUUGUCAAAGCAUCCUUGCUUCAUGUUACAGCAAAAUUUUCCCAAGGGUUAUACAAAUUGAAAUGUUUUUAUAGAAUGUUUAUACAGUUUAUCUGGUAAAUAUCUGCAGCUAGAGAAAGAAGUGAGGGAACUAACUAAGCAACGUGAUCUUGCUCAAUCGCGGGUUAAGGAUUUGCUGCAGACGCUUAAAAGUGAUAAAACCUCCAGCCAAAAGGUUUGCAUUAAGUAACCUAUUUGAAUUAUCCAUUAGAGAUGUUCCUUUAUCUGUUACUUAUUUUACGCAAAGUUUCAGGACAUAUCAAGUCUACCUUCAGAAGGGAACACAUAUGAAGAUGAAUGUUCUGUGUCUUGCUCAUCAGCUGUAGCAGGGUCCUAUAUCAGGGACAAUGAAAGUGAUGCUACCUCCUAUGUUGUACCUGCUGCUGGUCAACAGCAGAGGGUAAAAGAAUCUGUAAAUUUGACAGGAGAAGAUUGUGAUGUCCAUUGCAAGGAAGUUCGAUGUAUUGAGAUGGAUGAGUCUAGUGAAAAGCAAACCUUUGCAUCCAUCAGCUUGUCAAACACUGACUAUGGAGAAAGAAUGUCAAUGCCUCCUGCUUCCAGUAUCAGACAUUCAGACCUCCAACAGCAAUCACCAAUGUUACUUGGACAAGCAAGCAGCACCAGCGGUCGUUCUCUUCAUGGGGCCUGGGAGCAGAAAAUGCUUGAUAUCCAGAAUACAAUCAAUUCUCUUGUCAGACCUUUCCCUGAUGAUUCUUCUUCACUUUCCAUUUCAACAAGUAUAUCAGGUUCCAGAAGCCGUAAAUUAACAAGAAGCAAAAGCUGUAGAGCUAAUUUUAUGAUUGGCUCACUUUCACCCGACACUGAGACAGCUGAAGAAAACCAGACCACCCCACCUAAUGUGCUAGAUAAGGAUUUUCCAGGAAGACCUGAGGGUUUCCAACGGAAGCACUGGAAACUACCCCUAUUAAUUUAUGGAGCAAACAGAUCUAACUUAUCGAGAAACAAUUCACAGUCUUCCAUUGGUAGUGCUUUUGUGGAUGGGAAUAAUGUCCCUGGAGAUGAGGAUAUCCCAAGUGUUGACAAUUUUGUGGCAGGUCUUAAGGAGAUGGCUAAGCAACUUCAUGAUCAGGUAUGAAAUAUCUUGGUCCCAACUGUGUGUGUUUAGAGUUGCUCGCACUUUUUUGCUUGUUUUUUCAUGCAUGGGAUUACUGGAACAUGUGUGCAUCAUUUGGUUUUAGUGCAUCAUGUUACUUUGGUCGAUUUGAUGACAGAUACUGCUUGCAUGAUCAGUUUGCUCUUUGAUAUGUUUUUGCUUUCUCUUAUUUUGGGUGGUGGGCAUGACGAGGUAACGGUGCUAGCUAAUGCAAAAACAACUAUUCAGAUUGAAUUAUGUGUAUACAGUUGACAAUCUUAGAGUAUAGUUUAAGCUAUUUUUGCAAUGAUUUAUGUAGUAAGCAUUAAGUUUAUAACUUGACGGAACUUGAUUUAUGUCACACUUUGUCAUCAUUUUACAUGUAUAAUAUCUAUGUCACAGGGUCAAGAGGCUGGAAAGUCAAAAAGGAGCGUCAAAAGUAUUGGAGUGGACCCGAUGCUGGACUCAUUGGAGGCUCCUUCAGAUUGGCCUCUUGAAUUUGGAAGGCUACAGAAAAUGAUCAUUGGACUAUGGCAAACUUGCCAUAUUUCAUUGAUCCACAGGACAUACUUCCUCCUGCUGUUUAAAGGUGACCGUAUGGAUUCUAUUUACAUGGAGGUAGAGGUAAGAAGACUUUCCUUCCUCAAGGAAAUACUUUCAAAUGGAAGUUCAGCUGUGCAAGGUGGUCAGACAAUCACACUAGCAUCUAGGUAUAUUCUCUACCUUGCAUCUCUCAUAUUCCUAUUCCCAUCCCAGUUCAAGUGAAGUGAUGCCAAUGUAAAUUUGUUAUGGACUGAAAAUACUAGCUUAAACUUUAUGUAUAGCCUGGUAUCAUUAAAAUUUUGUAACUACCAUCUCUGCAACAUCUGCUAAUAUGAUUCAUUAUCAUUCUUGAUUUAACAGCCUCAAAGCUCUUAGACGCGAGAGAAAUAUGCUCUGUAGGCUCAUAUAUAAAAGGUUACCAGGAGCUGAAAGAAAUGAUAUAUACCAGAAAUGGGGCAUAAAGUUGAACUCCAAAAGGAGAAGACAUCAACUGGUUCAUCGUCUUUGGAAUGACACAGAUCUGAAUCAUGUGAUAGAUAGUGCUGCCAUUGUCGCAAAGCUGAUUGGGUUCUCUGAUCAGGGUCCAGCCCUCAAGGAGAUGUUUGGGCUUAGCAUUACACCUCCUCCGAGGAAGAGCAGGAGAUCUUUUGGCUGGAAGAACAGUAUGUCAUCCCUUAUCUGAGCUUUUUGAAAGUUCAGUAGCAAAAGAAAGAUAUAGGUGAAAUUAGCAAUAGUCUUAUGAUGAAUGUAAUUGGAUUGGAUACAUGUUGCCAAUUCACUGAUUAUAGGAUUGAAUAGUCUCCUUUAUUAGUUUGCUUAAGUUUGUGCAGUACUACUCUGUGAAUCAAUUAUAAUUUGUAGCUUCAUAUUUGAUAGUAAUAGAUAAUGUUCUUAACAAUCUAAAUCUGGAAUUGGAGAAAGUGUUCAAGUAAUUCUUUUGGCAUAUGAUAUUAUAAUAUAAAACCAAUUACUUGUAAGUUGUAACUAUCUAUAUUAACCAAAAAUUGGCGAUGACCAGAACCAGUUAAAUGAUAUAAGAAGUCUACAUUUAUUUUUACACCGUUUAUCGUGUCAUACAAUAUAUUUGCAAGAAUUCUAGCUCUUUAUUUGUCUGGAAUUUAGUAAUUUCAACUUUUAAGAACAAUGAUAUGUAUACCCAUGUUCUUUUAAUUCUGUAGUUCUGAUUUUUGAACUUUCAACAAUUUAAAUUCACACGGCUUAAAAUUUCUUAAAAAAGGAAAUACUUCAUGCUAUUUUUUCUUCUUCUAUUUCUAUGGCCCAAAGACCUGAAUAAAAUUAAAGAAUAAAAAAAUCUUAAUUAUUCCAUCACAAUUAUUAGUGUCAAUGCAUUAUUUAAUAUUUAAUUACUUGUCAUGUGUGUAAACAUUAUACCAAAUUUCAGUUUCCUGGUCUCUUUACAAACAAGCCUAAUUACAAUGUACAUCCUUUCUUAAUUACUUAUUUGCUAUUCACAUUUCUUCAAAGUUGAUACAAAGUAUAUUUUUUUUAGACAUAAUGUAGUUUAACUAGUUUGUAAUAGAUAAAAUAUGUCAUUAUUCAGAAAGACUAACCUAAUUAAAAUAACAUAAAUAGUUAAAGAAAAACACCAACUAGAUAUAAAUAAAAAUGUAACCCUAUAAAUGAAAAGGUAUGUUGUAGAACGACGUCGUAGGUAGUAGUUCUGAAUACAAAGAUCCAGAAAGGGGGAGAGAGCUCCGAGUAAACCAGAGGGAGAGAGAGAGAGAGAGAGAUUGAGAAAGCGAUGAGCGGAAUAGCAUCGGUGUCGUUCUUAGCUCGAAGAGCGUCGCAGAGGGAGAGGGUUCGGAUCCUAUACAGGCGUGCUCUCAGAGACACUCUUAAUUGGGCCGUCCAUCGUCAUCUCUUCUAUCCUGAUGUAAAAAUGUUUUGUCACAAUUCCUAGGGUUUCUUCCAUUGAUUCGUUUUUUCCACAUUUCCUUCAUACGAUCUCUAUAUGUUAUUGUUUUUACUUAUAUAGAACCGGUAUUUCGUUUUAUUGAUUAAUUUAUUUGUUUGUUUGUUUUCAGGCGGAUGCCCUAAGGGAGCGAUUUGAGGUCAACAGAAAAGUGGUUUGUUCUCAUUUUCCUUCUUUUUAUCCCUUUUAUGUGAUUUUUCAUUUUUCUGGUAAGGAUUGUAUGGUUUUAGCUUGAUGUUGGGAGUGAAGUUUAUAUGUUUUAGUGUUAUACAGAGCUACUUGUUCAUGUGUAAUGUUUUAAUGAUGUCUGUUUCACAAAAAAAAAAAAAGAAUUCACCUUUAGUGUACUGUCAAAUAAAAUGCAGAAGUAUUAAUUAGUAUUGAAUACAAGUAGUGAUAGAAGUAUUUGUGAAGCUUAAUAAAUUUAUUUUAAACUGUAUGAGUCCUUAAGUGUUCAUUUCAUUCUUCUUUUCCUUGUUUUUGUUGUGAUUUGUAUGUGUACUAGCACAUUUUUGGAGUAUACAAAUUGGCAUUUUCUGGUGGGAUCAUAUGUGUUUAGCUCGAUAUUUGGAUUAAAGUUUGUAUGGUUACUGUUAAAUUGAGUGACUUGUUCAUGAUAUGCUCUGAUUAUAUGUAUUUCCAAAAAAGAAUUCACAUUUGUCAUGCUCAAUUCGUUUUUGAUGCACAAGUGAUGCUGGAAACAAUGUGAGGUCAAUGUUGCAGAUUCUGCUAUAUAGUAAGAACAAGUAGUUCCGGAUUGGUUUUGGUUCAAUUAGUAACUUUCUGGGAUUGAGUAUUAUGUAUUAAAGUUCUUAAUGGAUAAUGAAAAAUGACUCUGCUUUCAUCUUAGUGAUGGCUAAUUUCAUGGCCAAAUGAGUGAGGAGCUGCAUUCCCUUUUUCAACAAGUGAAAUUGUAAUUCUGUAGUAAUAUAUUUUGCAUUAUGUUUGGUGUUUUGCAAUUUUAUCUUUUAAGCUCAUUUUAUUCUGUCUUGGUUUGUUAACAUUCAGGAAGAUGUUGAAACUAUUGAUAGACUUAUAGCUGAUGGUGAAGCAUCCUACAAUAAGUGGCGGCACCCUGAUCCUUACAUUGGUAUGUUUCUUUAUGAGUUUUGUAUCAAACAACUGCACUUCGAUCCCAAGCAAGUUGAAGUUUGCUAUAUGAAUCCUCAUUAUCUAUGUAUUCUUUGUAAGUUUUUUGCUAUCAAUAAACUAGAUUUUCAAUCCAAUGAACCAAACAUGUUAAGGAUAUGAUGUCGGAGUCUGUAUUAUAUGAGAUACAGGUUUUGAACUGAAUGAGGUCCCCAGGGUUUGGGUUUUGGUCUAGUGGUAAGAGAGCAGCUUGUACUGUGUGGGGUUAGGCGCAUGUCACAGAUAAAAACCUGGUAUUUGAAAUAAUAUAAAAAAAAGGCUGGUAUUUUGAGUGAAGGGUAGAGGGUGGAGCCCAUUUUCCACCGAAUUUCAAAAUGUCACUACUGGCAAGCAGGGAUUUCUCAGCUAUCAACAAGAAGCGUUGUAUAGAAACUUCUCUUAAAAAUUAUAGCCAGCAUAAGUUCUGUUGAAAUCUUUCACAUCUUCCCAACUGUUAGGGGUGCUAAGUUCAUAGAUCUAGGGAGUAUUGUUUUUUCAUGUGAAAAGAGACUGCCUCUAAUGAUGAAAUGUCUUGUGGGUCAUGAGAAAAAAAAAGGAAGAAAAGAAAAAUAUCUACAGGAUACCGUCUCAUCUGAAUUUUUAUCUAUGUUGAAGUUUGAAGAUGCUAAUUGACAAGUGAUUGCCUUAAGUCUUGUCCUACUUACCUUUGCAUGUUUCCUUGUUGGAUUAUGUGAUGAUCUUUUUUGUUCAUACAACUUUUGUUAAAUGUUGAUAGCAGUAAACAUCUGACUUUAUAAUUUUUUAAUGUGAAUAGAUAUAAAAAGGAUAUGCAUAAGACCAACUUAUUAUUAGUUUUUGAAAGGACAUAGUUUUUUGAUUUUUUGACACAUUUCGGAAAUGUGAUAAAUUGUGGAAACAUGAAAAGUUGAGUGAACUAUUUUAUGCUUUAGACUGCUGGUAAUAGUUUGUCUUUCAAUGAUGAGCAGUUCCAUGGGCACCUGGUGGUUCCAAGUUCAACAGAAAUCCAGUGCCGCCAGAAGGGGUAAUUUGCUUAAACAUUUAUUUACAUCACGUUCAAUGUGUCAGUUUAUGCUAGUUGCUUAAGCCAUUUACUUUCCUGUUUCGUCAGUCUUUGCAAAUACCAUCAGGAGUAAUCUUCAACUGUUAAUUUUUCUAUCUGUUUACAACUUGCUAGUUCAUUCUUUUUUAAAUGUCAUGACAUGUGUUGAUCUUUAUUUUCUCAUCGUGAAUUGCUAUCUGACAUUUUAUCCUUAUUGUCCUACAUUUAUAUGACUACAACGGGUGGUUUAUGCCAAUUAUAUUCACAAUUCAUGAGAAAAUUCUGCUUCAUUUAAAAAAAAGUGUUGAUGUUAAAAUAGUUAAAUAAACUGUCAAAGAGGGAGCUUAUAAAAAAGAUGUCACAUCAACGUCAUAGGAAUACGGUGUCAUACUUAGUUGUACUACUGUUAAUUACUAGAUGGAAAUCUACGACAGUAGCAAGAAAAGUAGGACAAGGAUAUUCUGACGAAAGUAAUAGAUGUUCUGCUCCCUCCAUACAAGUCAAGUCCUUAUUUGAACCUGCUUGUGAUCAUUAAAGAGUGGUAAUUUUUUUAUUAGUGAAUAGUUUUAUUAGAAAAGUAUCCAGGGGAUGCUGCAUCGCUCAAGUAUUCAGGAUGGGUUGCUGCCAUAUUUCCGGUUGUCCCUAUUUCCCAUUUCCUUCCGAGGGAUCUACUCAGACAUGUGUCCAUGUAUUUUCUUCAUCUUGGAGUAAUUUGAAUCGGAAAUAGUUGUGGUCCAAAAGAUUAGUGUUGGAGUGGAGUAGAUCUGGAUUGAUGUUUGUCCAAAUGUUACACCUACCUCUAUGAUCUCUCUCUCCCCUGACCCACUUAACCUGACUCAAUGUGUAAAAAAUGAUCUGAAUCCAGAUCUCAUCCAUUUUAGGACCAUAUUUGACCCUAAAAAGGUAUCCCCUAUGAGGGAGCCAGAACAACAAAGUAAAAGAAGGGUCAAACUUGUUGGAUAUGUAUUGGUCCAAAUGCAAUCACUUUGGUGUCUUUUGUACUAGGAAGUUACAAUACAACUGUAUUAGUUUCCUUUGUUUGGGUGUGUAAUGGAGUUGAUGUAAGUGCACAGAAACCACGAUAGAGUUCACUAGUUCCUACAGAAUCGACAAUACUUUUGUUUCUUUGCUUUUGGUAUCUGCAACACCAACUUGGUGCUGCAGUGGUCAAUAAAUUACUAUUUACCUUUUCACAAAAGAAAAAUGUUAAUUUGAUGUCAACUGCGACCCAAAUUCUUCUAUUCUUGUUAUACCAAGCAGACUUCAUGGAUCCUUUAUGUUUAAUAACUCCUUCACUCUUGAUGCAGAUUGAGAUAUUGUAUGACUAUGGCAAGGAAGAGGUUGAACUAGUAUGAUAUUCUCCCAUGAAAUGAAUAAAAGGUAUAAUUAUGUUAACUCGUGCAUCUUCACACAUUUGCGUUUACCAAUACUCUCAUCAUGUUUAUCACCUCUGUUGCUUCCCCCACCCCAACAACUGCAGAGGACACCCCAACCAUCUGUAAAACUUGUCGAAGAAAAUUUUGGCCCGACUUUUGGGAAAUUUUGAGCUAGUAAACUAUUAUUAGCUAACUGGGCAUACACGACAUCUGUCGUGAAUACCAAGUAGUUUCAAUUAUCACCUUAAACAUGUCAAUGAAUAAAAACUGAACAACGUCUUUGACAUUGGUAAAGAUCUAUAUUUGUAAAUUUUGCCAUUUGAUUGAAUAUUUUCAUUUUUUCGGUGGCAGAUUCAGAAAGUGCGGGCAUGCAAGGAGAGUUGCAUCCAGUCCUGUCUUCUUUUUUAGUGAUUUCAUCUAGCUUUGAACAAUGAAACGUUAAAUAUGUUUUCUGGUUUGAUAUUUAGAGAAAUGGGAAAUGGCAAUGGCACUAUGCUCACUUAAAAUUGACCGUUUAGUAGUUGUGAGCUGCAUACCAAGAAUUGCAAAAAUAAAUGUCAGAUUUUGAUUUGAAAUAGACAAAGUUGAGGAUUUGUUUGGCGUACAAUUUGUCGAAUUUCAGUAAUCAUUAUUCAUGUCUUAACCUUCUUUUUACAAGUAUUGUGAGCUAUCAAUAUCAUUAAUGUAUUGUUGUUUGAACAGUUUCUUGUUAUAAAAAAUUGUAUACUUGCCUUUAUUGCAAGAGUGACGGACAAAUAGUUGUCCCAUUUGUUUGGCAGAUGGAAUAGAUAUGUGGUUGUACUCUCUUGGAUUAGAAGGGAGAUGAAAUGAAAGACAUUGAAUAAAACACUAACAUAAGUUGUUAGACAAAGUGAUGAAAGAAGGGAAAAACCCACAAAAAGAAGUAGGUAUAAACCAAAAAAUUGCCAUGAUUGUGAUGAUAUCUUUGAGAAUUGAUCAGUUGAAAUGAUUUCUCUUUUGACAUGUUGAAUGGAGGAAAAAAAAUUAAGAAAAUGACAUAAAUAGUCCCUCAACUAUAGGAGUAGGUCUAAAAUGGUCCCUUAACUAUACACUUAAUGGAUUUAGUUCUUUAACUAUUCAAAAAUUUAUCAACUUUGGUCUCUUAACUAUACACUUACCGGUUUUAGUUUCUUAACUAUAAACUUACCGAUUUUAAUUCUUUAAGUAUUCAAAAAUUUAUCAGUUUUGGUCUUUGUCCAUUUUUAAUACAAAUAGCUUAGGUUUAUAUUAAUCGAAAUCUUCAUUAAAUUAAAUUUUUAACCCAUUUUUUAAAGUUGUUUCUCUAUUCCCACCUUUUUUUCUUCAAACUACUCUUAUGAAAAGAACUAUAACGUCAACGAUUAAAAAUAAAAUUAAAGAGGAAAGAAGAUAUAAGUCAUAAUUUUAUUCAAUGGAGGAUAAAAUUAAGCAUAUAAUUGUUGUUAAUGACUUGAAUAUGCUAAUCCGUGCGGAUUUUAUUUAAUUUACUCAAAUUUCUUCACGUAAAAUAAAAUGAAUAGAAUAAUAAAAUCGAUCUAUUUAAAAAAAGAUUAAAAAAUUUACAAAUCUACCAUUUUAUAUUUCAAUUUCUGAAAAAUUAAACAAAUUUCAUUCAAUGAAGUCGUUGGAGUACAAAUUUUGGAUUUAAAAGGUAAUAAUUUUUUUCUUUUUAUAAUAAAAUUUAGCAUAUUCUAGUCAUUAGUAGCAAUAAUAUGCUUCAUUUUAUCCUUUGUUGAAUAAAAUUAUGACUUAUAUUUUCUUUCCUCGUGAAUUUUAUUUUGAAUCGUUGAGGUUAGGGUUCUUCGCAUAAGAUUAAUUUGAAGAAAAAGAAGCGGAGAGAGAGAAACAACAGAAAAAGUUGCUAAAAGAUUUAAUUUCUUGAGGCAUGAAUUCCGUUAAUAUAAACCUAAGCUAUUUGUAUUAAAAAAAAUGGACAAAGACUAAACCUGAUAAGUUUUUGAAUAUUUAAAGGACUAAAAUCGGUAAGUUUAUAGUUAAGAGACUAAAACCGGUAAGUAUAUAGUUAAGGGAUCAAAACUGAUAAAUUUUUGAAUAGUUAAAGGACUAAAUCCGCUAAGUGUAUAAUUAAGGAACCAAUUUAGACCUACUUUUAUAGUUAAGGGACUAUUUAUGUCAUUUUCUCAGCAAAGUCGCAUUAGAUUGAUGUCUUGUCUUAUUCUUGUCUAUCAACUCAUCUACUAAUAAAAUCAGCUAAAAGGAUUUAUAACAGUGCCUUUUCCUACUUUAAAUUGGCUUUUCACAUGAACUAAGUUUUAAUCAUCUAUAACAACCUUAGCGCAGGGGCAGAGCUACAGCCAGUGAUGGGUGUGCAGGUGAACACCCUUCGCCGGAAAUUAUAUCGUAUAUAUAGGUCAAAUUAAUGAAAUUGUUAAUAUAUACAUAAGUUUGCACACACUUGACAUAAUUAGAGCCCUUGGCUCAAUGGUAAAGAGUGAGUUAGAAGCUUCGAGGCCCGAGGUCGAAGGUUCGAUUUUUGCUAACUUUAAGUUUUUAACAUCAUUUUUUAUUAGUCAAAACUCACUAAAUAUUUUAUAGGUUACUUUUUAAAAUUUUGCACACCCUUCAUAAAAUGUCUGACUCCGCCACUGAAGUUUUGAUCAAGUUAUAAACAAUAGAUGGCUUUGCUACUCAUGCGUUGGGUUUUGGACCUUUGGUUUAACUCCGCAUACGUGUUUCUAAUGUGUAAUAAUCAAAUGGGACCAUUGUUAAUUAGAAAAAUUACUAAAAUACACGUCUUAUGUUUCCCUUAUUUUCAAUAUCCUCUUCUAUUUCUAAAAACCUCUAAAAUCUCUUAUUUCUUUAAUGUAUCCGAGCUACAUAUUAUGUAUCCGGUUUGUGUUACUUUUUAAGGGAUUAAUGUAAUUACAAACUAAAGAAGGAUAUAUUGUAAUUUCAUAUUAAGACUGUGAUUCCUAAAAUAUACCCUUGUUAAUUAGUCAUUAUAUCUAAAACUCAUAAUCUCUUACUGGCCUUUGCAUCAAAAGAUCCUCUAAUGAAUAAAACCCGCAAAGGGUUCUCACAAGAGAAAAAUAAUGCUACAUUCAUUUGCACUUUGCAUGCUUCCCCUGAACAUAUGGGCAUUCAAACUUAUUAUGGUUCAUUCGACUACUAUGUCAUACCUGCCCUGAUGCACCGUAUCACAUUUGCACAUGGAUUUAUCAUUGAACAACAAACGAAUGCAAGAAAAAAUCCAACCUAAAAUCAUCCGGCCUAAGAGAGCAACCUAUUAGCUCUGGAUUAUGAAAGAUGAACAAUUCACCCUCUUUAAAAGAGGUGUUAUAUGUUGAAUAGCAUGUUCCAUAAGAACGAGCAAACUCAUUUCUCUGCACAUAUGUAUGUAUCACAGUGUCUACAUAACAAGAUUAAUUUCAGCAGAAAGCAGUAAUUGGCAAAAUCAUUGAACAUCACAAUUCAUUAUUCUCCAUUCAGAUCUCUCUGUCAUACCAAUUCUAACAUCUAUUGACAGAGUAGAGAGGAGAUCAUCCAGGCCCUUUGCACAAUUGCACUCUUUUGCCUUUACUUCAAAUCUGUGAAUACACCAUUAUGUAUGUACUCCAGCAUGAGUUUCUUCCACAAGUUGAUCUAAUAAGAUAAGCUGUCAAUAGGAGAGAAUAUCUCUUGCUCAGCAUCAAUUUUUAAAGAAAUCGAGAGGCUGGAUGCCACACACACCAAAACAUGAAGUUCAAUGUUGAAAGCUGCAGAUAACUCUCCUGCAGUUUCAUCCAGUCAAUUAUCUCUACCCCUUCCCUCCCCAAGGAGGUUUUAAGGAAAGUUUUGCAACUUUUUCUUACAAAAAUUCUCUCUAGAUCGAAGAUUAGUUUGAUUCCACCCAUUUAUGAGACCAGUUCUGUCAGAAGUGGCUGAGUUCCAAAACUAUAGAUGCACCCUUCAAGCCAGCAACUACUAGUAGCAACAUGAAAAAAAGCAAAUUCAUAUCCUUUUUUCUCCAUUAGUUUAUAUUUCAAUUUGAAUCAUCUCACACUAUCUUAACUCGAGCACAAGACUAGAUAGAUCAGUUCAUAAAGUCAUAUCAACCAACGAAAACAGAUAUACAUCACACCACAAUAUUUGCUGCAGGAUAAUUAGAGCAACAAGUAUCUCUUACACCCCAAAUUUGGGCAACGGAGAUGCUGAUGUCUAUAAAGUUAAGAUCUUUAUUGAUGAUCAGUAGCUGAAAUAACUAAGCACAUUUUGGAUCUUCAGUUUUUCUGGACUAAAAUAUGUGCAAACCAUAACAGUCCCAAACCCGGAUUAAACAGGAGAGUUUUGCCCUAAGUCGACAGUUACUGUCAUUAAAAAUAGUCAAACUACGAUUCAUAUAGCUGACCCCAACUGAAUUAGGAUUGAUCCAUAGUGAAGCUAAGUUGUGUUUUGACAUCAAAUAACCAAAGUGAGUUUAGAUAAAGCACCUAUUAAUCACAGUGUCCUUCAUGUAACAGCAAUAGUAAUUCAGCAUUUAUUCUCAACUCCUAGAACUCCUAAUUCUAGAAUGCCAUAUGAUAAUACAUCUGUAUGCAAAUCGCAAAGCCAGACAAAGCAAUUGAAACUCAAUUUUGCCCAGACGUCAAUACAUUCAGAUUCAUCAUAAGAAAAACAUAAUCUAUCUUCUUAUCAGAGCAUUGCAAAUAGAAACAAGACUAGAUUUUUGAAGGGUACAGAAAAUAAAAAAAGCUUAGAAAUCAAAUGAGUUUGAAAGGAAGAGGCCAAGGUGUAGACCUGGGGACCUCAACUUUAUCCUUGAUGCGUUCAAUUUUCUUCUCCUUUUUAGGUCUUGAAUUUCCAUAUGAAUCUUUGAAUCUCUUCCCUUUCUUCGUCCUCUUGUCCCCUCGUCCGCAAAGGAUCGGACCUCCCAUCGCCG